rnacentral:rRNA from 1 species
UACGGAGGGGGCUAGCGUUGUUCGGAAUUACUGGGCGUAAAGCGCACGUAGGCGGUCAGGCAAGUCGGGUGUGAAAGCCCUGGGCUCAACCUGGGAAUUGCCUUUGAUACUGCAAAUCUCGAGUCCGGAAGAGGUGAGUGGAAUUCCUAGUGUAGAGGUGAAAUUCGUAGAUAUUAGGAAGAACACCAGUGGCGAAGGCGGCUCACUGGUCCGGUACUGACGCUGAGGUGCGAAAGCGUGGGGAGCAAACAGG